UACAGAGGUCUCAAGCGUUGUUCGGAUUCAUUGGGCGUAAAGGGUGUGUAGGUGGCGCGCUAAGUCGGGUGUGAAAUCUUGGAGCUUAACUCCGAAACUGCAUUCGAUACUGCCGUGCUUGAGGACUGGAGAGGAGACUGGAAUUUACGGUGUAGCGGUGAAAUGCGUAGAUAUCGUAAGGAACACCAGUGGCGAAGGCGGCUCACUGGCCCGGUACUGACGCUGAGGUGCGAAAGCGUGGGGAGCAAACAGG
rnacentral:rRNA from 1 species